AUCCAUGCUUUCUAAGUGCAAGAGUGCACGUCCAGGUGCUCCCUGCAUGUGGGUGGGUCCUGUGUGUGUGUGCGCACGCCAGAGAGAGUGUGUGAGCAGAGGUUCACAUGUGGACUGCUUCGACUCGUCAGAGGAUGCUUGCCGGCUCUCUGCUCGCGUGCUCUCGCUGCUCCGAUCAUGCAUCUGCUUUACUAAAGUGGGAUAAAAAAUACAUAUACAUAUGAAAAAAAUGUGUUUCUUCGCUCGCUCGCUCGCUCAUGUGGACUGGUUUUUGAGACAGGGGCGCGGAGAUAGAAGCGGGGCUGGAGGGACGCUGCUAAGAGAGGUGCAAUCUCCGCGAAGAUGUUUUUCUUAGACGCUCCAACAGACAGGAAUCCACUGGCAAGAAGAAAGCCCCGGUCUUCCCCACGAGAGCAAGAGUACAAAGCCCCCCAGUCUGCACACAGCAGAUGCGGGGAAAGCAAGUCCAUCUGCCACCAGCUUGCCGAGCCACAUGGGCCUGAGAGCGCUAAUGCAAGCGGAGUGAGGUGUUUAUUCCCUCCAUGACUCCUCUUCUGGGGGUUUCUGCUACCAAGGUCAGGGGAUACAAGCAAGCCCACCAGCGCACUGAUGAGGUGGCAGCAGAAAAACGGGGGAGAGAGACAGACAUGUGGAGUGGGUACAGUGAGGAGGGUGGGGGUAGCAGCUGGUUACCAACCUUGGCAAGAGCAGCAGGAGUGUCAUGACAACGGCAGCGGAGGAUGUUGACUUCCAUUUCAUCUCAACAAAGCGAUUUCAGCAGUUUGCACACAACUACUGCAACUUUUGAAGCCAUUCAUUUUCAAUUGAGGUUGCGACAAAGUGAAUUGCUUUGGGGUAAUUAUAUACAGACAGGCAGAGUUGGCUUACCCGUUACUUCACCACACAAGACGGUGAGAAGAAUAACUUGAGAGUUUUAGCAAACUGAUUAAUCUCCAGGUACUGUGAGCAUCAGGGAUAUUUUGAGUUGCACCUAGAAACUGGACAAUGAUUGAAGUCGACAUUUCAACUUAAUUGUCUUUGACCAGCAGUUCUUUGGAAGCACAAAUCAAAAUUCCCAGCACUGAAUGAACCAUACAACAUUGUCAAACACUCUUCAGUGUGAACACUGUUACAGAGUGAAGUCUCAAAUUUGUCCAUUUUUUAUAAGAGUGAGGUUUUGAAGAUGAAAUUAGAUGAAAGACUAAAGCUGUUGGAAAAUAUUUCCCAGAUUUGCCUGCUUUUCAUUCAGGCUGUCACAAAAGAAUUGUUUUGUUUAUCUAUUGUACAAAUUUAAGGGUCAAUUAAGAGUCUAUUUUCAUUAGGAGUAAAGGAUAAACCAGACAGUUAACCUCACCUUGCACACUAAGUCUUGUUGUAUGAUGCUAUAACAAUUAGUUGUCUUUGUGACGUCACCUCUGCUUCUUGAAUAAAUAAUUAAUUAGAAUCCACUAUAGGAAGGGUAGAAAAUUACAUUUCGGGUAGUAGUUCUUAAAAAAACCUAGGAAUGAGUAAAAUCAGUAUCAGCUUAAAACACACAAAGCUUUAGCUUCCUGAAAAGUUUUAAAUUCAUGGCAUCUCUAGUAGUAUUUAGUUUUUCCUUGUUGUUAUUCUUUUGACUUCCCUCAUCUCUCAUUUAAUCUAAUACUAUCGUCACUUUGCAAGAACGAAAAUCCAAUGUUUCAAAAAAUAAAGAAACCCAAAUGCAUGAAAUAAAGCAUACCCCUAUUCAUUCUUUGUUAAUCAAAUGUUUCACAAGCACAACUCGUGAUCUGUAAAGUCCAGCCCCCAAAUACUACUACUACGACCAAUAAUAAUAAUAAUAAUAAGCCAAAUAAGGCCUAAUGGCUCAGAAGGGCUCUUUUAAAGUCCUGGGAAAUGUUGAUCACACAAUAUGUUGCUUAUGGCCACAAAGCAGAGGCCAUUACAGACCGGUGAUUAUAUAAGUGGUUGGAAGGCAGCACCAUUUUAAUAUACUGUACUUAAGCACCAGGGUAUCCAUGGCAACUUGCACUUUCACCGUGCAUUCAGAAAUCCCUAAUGAAAUGUCUAUUAAGGGGAUGAUAAUGACAGUGUCCAAAUAUAUUUGCAUACGUGUUUCAGUGGGAAAAGAGAGCGCAUAAUGAAGGUAGAUGGGUCCCUGAUCACUGCCAUGAUAAUUUUGUGUAUUUUGGGGGGAUGUUUUUGGGGGGUGCGGAGGAUAUUUUCACUGUCAAAGUAAUAAAA